AUUUCGUCUCGCAUUGGGAUUCGGAGGGACUCUAGCCGUAAAACCCCCAAUUUUACUAAGGUUGACCUCGGAUCAGGUAGGAAUACCCGGUGAACUUAAGCAUA
rnacentral:rRNA from 1 species